rnacentral:rRNA from 1 species
CUACGGGUGGCUCCAGUGGGGAAUAUUGCACAAUGGGCGCAAGCCUGAUGCAGCCAUGCCGCGUGUAUGAAGAAGGCCUUCGGGUUGUAAAGUACUUUCAGCGGGGAGGAAGGGAGUAAAGUUAAUACCUUUGCUCAUUGACGUUACCCGCAGAAGAAGCACCGGCUAACUCCGUGCCAGCAGCCGCGGUAAUACGGAGGGUGCAAGCGUUAAUCGGAAUUCCUGGGCGUAAAGCGCCCGCAGGCGGUUUGUUAAGUCAGAUGUGAAAUCCCCGGGCUCAACCUGGGAACUGCAUCUGAUACUGGCAAGCUUGAGUCUCGUAGAGGGGGGUAGAAUUCCAGGUGUAGCGGUGAAAUGCGUAGAGAUCUGGAGGAAUACCGGUGGCGAAGGCGGCCCCCUGGACGAAGACUGACGCUCAGGUGCGAAAGCGUGGGGAGCAAACAGGAUUAGAUACCCCUGUAGUC